rnacentral:rRNA from 1 species
UACGGAGGGGUCGAGCGUUGUCCGGAGUUACUGGGCGUAAAGCGCGUGUAGGCUGACCGGAAAGUCGGGCGUGAAAUCCCUGAGCUCAACUCAGGAACUGCACUCGAAACUCUCGGUCUAGAGUGGUGGAGAGGGAAGUGGAAUUCCUGGUGUAGAGGUGAAAUUCGUAGAUAUCAGGAGGAACACCAGUGGCGAAGGCGGCUUCCUGGACACCAACUGACGCUGAGACGCGAAAGCGUGGGGAGCAAACAGG